rnacentral:rRNA from 1 species
GGGUUGUGAGGUUAAGCGACUAAGCGUACACGGUGGAUGCCCUGGCAGUCAGAGGCGAUGAAGGACGUGCUAAUCUGCGAUAAGCGUCGGUAAGGUGAUAUGAACCGUUAUAACCGGCGAUUUCCGAAUGGGGAAACCCAGUGUGAUUCGUCACACUAUCAUUAACUGAAUCCAUAGGUUAAUGAGGCGAACCGGGGGAACUGAAACAUCUAAGUACCCCGAGGAAAAGAAAUCAACCGAGAUUCCCCCAGUAGCGGCGAGCGAACGGGGAGCAGCCCAGAGCCUGAAUCAGUGUGUGUGUUAGUGGAAGCGUCUGGAAAGGCGUGCGAUACAGGGUGACAGCCCCGUACACAAAAAUGCACAUACUGUGAGCUCGAUGAGUAGGGCGGGACACGUGGUAUCCUGUCUGAAUAUGGGGGGACCAUCCUCCAAGGCUAAAUACUCCUGACUGACCGAUAGUGAACCAGUACCGUGAGGGAAAGGCGAAAAGAACCCCGGCGAGGGGAGUGAAAAAGAACCUGAAACCGUGUACGUACAAGCAGUGGGAGCACGCUUAGGCGUGUGACUGCGUACCUUUUGUAUAAUGGGUCAGCGACUUAUAUUCUGUAGCAAGGUUAACCGAAUAGGGGAGCCGAAGGGAAACCGAGUCUUAACUGGGCGUUAAGUUGCAGGGUAUAGACCCGAAACCCGGUGAUCUAGCCAUGGGCAGGUUGAAGGUUGGGUAACACUAACUGGAGGACCGAACCGACUAAUGUUGAAAAAUUAGCGGAUGACUUGUGGCUGGGGGUGAAAGGCCAAUCAAACCGGGAGAUAGCUGGUUCUCCCCGAAAGCUAUUUAGGUAGCGCCUCGUGAAUUCAUCUCCGGGGGUAGAGCACUGUUUCGGCAAGGGGGUCAUCCCGACUUACCAACCCGAUGCAAACUGCGAAUACCGGAGAAUGUUAUUACGGGAGACACACGGCGGGUGCUAACGUCCGUCGUGAAGAGGGAAACAACCCAGACCGCCAGCUAAGGUCCCAAAGUCAUGGUUAAGUGGGAAACGAUGUGGGAAGGCCCAGACAGCCAGGAUGUUGGCUUAGAAGCAGCCAUCAUUUAAAGAAAGCGUAAUAGCUCACUGGUCGAGUCGGCCUGCGCGGAAGAUGUAACGGGGCUAAACCAUGCACCGAAGCUGCGGCAGCGACGCUUAUGCGUUGUUGGGUAGGGGAGCGUUCUGUAAGCCUGUGAAGGUGUGCUGUGAGGUAUGCUGGAGGUAUCAGAAGUGCGAAUGCUGACAUAAGUAACGAUAAAGCGGGUGAAAAGCCCGCUCGCCGGAAGACCAAGGGUUCCUGUCCAACGUUAAUCGGGGCAGGGUGAGUCGACCCCUAAGGCGAGGCCGAAAGGCGUAGUCGAUGGGAAACAGGUUAAUAUUCCUGUACUUGGUGUUACUGCGAAGGGGGGACGGAGAAGGCUAUGUUGGCCGGGCGACGGUUGUCCCGGUUUAAGCGUGUAGGCUGGUUUUCCAGGCAAAUCCGGAAAAUCAAGGCCGAGGCGUGAUGACGAGGCACUACGGUGCUGAAGCAACAAAUGCCCUGCUUCCAGGAAAAGCCUCUAAGCAUCAGGUAACAUCAAAUCGUACCCCAAACCGACACAGGUGGUCAGGUAGAGAAUACCAAGGCGCUUGAGAGAACUCGGGUGAAGGAACUAGGCAAAAUGGUGCCGUAACUUCGGGAGAAGGCACGCUGAUACGUAGGUGAAGCGACUUGCUCGUGGAGCUGAAAUCAGUCGAAGAUACCAGCUGGCUGCAACUGUUUAUUAAAAACACAGCACUGUGCAAACACGAAAGUGGACGUAUACGGUGUGACGCCUGCCCGGUGCCGGAAGGUUAAUUGAUGGGGUUAGCGCAAGCGAAGCUCUUGAUCGAAGCCCCGGUAAACGGCGGCCGUAACUAUAACGGUCCUAAGGUAGCGAAAUUCCUUGUCGGGUAAGUUCCGACCUGCACGAAUGGCGUAAUGAUGGCCAGGCUGUCUCCACCCGAGACUCAGUGAAAUUGAACUCGCUGUGAAGAUGCAGUGUACCCGCGGCAAGACGGAAAGACCCCGUGAACCUUUACUAUAGCUUGACACUGAACAUUGAGCCUUGAUGUGUAGGAUAGGUGGGAGGCUUUGAAGUGUGGACGCCAGUCUGCAUGGAGCCGACCUUGAAAUACCACCCUUUAAUGUUUGAUGUUCUAACGUGGACCCGUGAUCCGGGUUGCGGACAGUGUCUGGUGGGUAGUUUGACUGGGGCGGUCUCCUCCUAAAGAGUAACGGAGGAGCACGAAGGUUGGCUAAUCCUGGUCGGACAUCAGGAGGUUAGUGCAAUGGCAUAAGCCAGCUUGACUGCGAGCGUGACGGCGCGAGCAGGUGCGAAAGCAGGUCAUAGUGAUCCGGUGGUUCUGAAUGGAAGGGCCAUCGCUCAACGGAUAAAAGGUACUCCGGGGAUAACAGGCUGAUACCGCCCAAGAGUUCAUAUCGACGGCGGUGUUUGGCACCUCGAUGUCGGCUCAUCACAUCCUGGGGCUGAAGUAGGUCCCAAGGGUAUGGCUGUUCGCCAUUUAAAGUGGUACGCGAGCUGGGUUUAGAACGUCGUGAGACAGUUCGGUCCCUAUCUGCCGUGGGCGCUGGAGAACUGAGGGGGGCUGCUCCUAGUACGAGAGGACCGGAGUGGACGCAUCACUGGUGUUCGGGUUGUCAUGCCAAUGGCACUGCCCGGUAGCUAAAUGCGGAAGAGAUAAGUGCUGAAAGCAUCUAAGCACGAAACUUGCCCCGAGAUGAGUUCUCCCUGACCCUUUAAGGGUCCUGAAGGAACGUUGAAGACGACGACGUUGAUAGGCCGGGUGUGUAAGCGCAGCGAUG